AACCAUUCUCACCUGCGGCUAGACCUGCGGAAGGAUCAUUAGCGAGUUGCAAAACUCCCAAACCAUUGUGAACCUACCUUACCGUCCCUUCGGCGGGCGGCCUACGCCCUAACCUGCUGCCCCUCGUGGGCUGGCGGACCCGCCGGAGGCCCCUAAACCCUUAGCUUUUUUGGCACUUCUGAGUAUAACUUUUAAUAAGUCAAAACUUUCAACAAUGGAUCUCAGAUCGGAAGAGCACAC
rnacentral:misc_RNA from 1 species